ACUAGGCUAUACUAACCGCACCAACUGUGCUAUUUGUGGCGUCAAUUGAGAAAAUAGUAUGCUUAUUGGUCAUAGUAUGGAUAUAGUUCCCGGAUGUUGUACUAAAUUUGCCAAAAUAUGAAGUAUACACAUCGAGGACACCGUUUACGUACUUUAAGGCCCAUAAUGCAAUUGUUCCGGAAAUGGGCGUGGCUCAGUGUUUUCAGAUUUGAAGAACAUGGCGCAAAAUAUGCAGCCGAAGUACACAUAAUUAUGACACAUUUUAAGAAAAUGUUGAGCAAUGUAAUACAGUAAUUACUUUUCAAAUAAGUUACCUUACACGUUAUGUUGGCUGACAAUUUGUUAGCUACGCUGUCCUUAUCAUUACAGCAUGUACCGGUAUGCUAGUUGGCUACUUAUACAUCAAACUUGCCAGUAUAUUAACUAUAGGCUAUCUAACUACCCGUGUCAUAGGUUUAUUGACUUGAUUAUUCCCGUCAUUCUUUGUUCAGCUAAAUGUUAUAGUCGUUUUGCGUUCUCAAUGGAUAUUCGGGUGCUUUUGUAAAUUCGCUCUGGCUAUCUACUCUGAUUUCGCCUGAGUAAUGUUAUACCUCAGAGCAGAGUGCAGAAUAAUGACUUUACGAACGCUCAACACCGGUUGAAUAUGGUCGGUGUCAGUAAACCUCGGCAAAAAAAAAGCGUUAUUAAAUUGUUGCCAGCAGCACAUUUAGUCACCAACGCUCUGGAUAACAUGACAACUGCCUAACCAGCUGUGCUAGGGUCCUGAAGGACGCCUCACUGUCCUCAGCUGUUUGGCUUCUAUGAGAGGACCAUCUCUACCAGCACUCAUGGGUCACCCAAGGCCCAAAUCGCCAUGACUUGAUAGGUGACCAGUCGCCUGUAAGCGGUGGACAGCCUCCCUAUGAGCCGGGUGCUGGGCUUCGGAGCCAAAUACCUGCAGGAUCACUUCUCUUCCUGGGCCAGACAGCAGCGUGGAUAUGAGGAAGCUUUUGUGAAUGAUGAUGAUGAGGAGGAAGUCGACUGAGCCAGAGGGAUUUUCCCCCAUUCUAUACCCCCAUUGUCUUCUUCCCGGUUAUCCACUCUUUUCCCAAAGUAUGCACUUGUGCAUUUUCUGUCAUGGAUCAGAAUUUGAUAUGUGUAAUUAUUGGCUAAAGGGAGUUUCCACCAUUGUUAAAUCUAUGACGGGAAAGGUGGAUAAUUGGGAUCUAGCUCUCUAACCCUAGCCCUAACCCCUAGAGAAGUUUCAACUCAGGGUAAUGUAUUUCUAUUAUUGCAUGCCCAAUUAAACAUAGCUUUUGCACAAAGAAACAUGUACAUAGAAAUAUAGAUGACUGUCUUCCAGAGCCAUAUGAUAUGAGGGAAACUGUUCAUCUCAAGCCCCAUUCCAUCUUAUGAAUUAUAAAUGUAUAUGAUAUAAGAAUGUAUAUGAAAGUACAGUAUUCAGGUGUUUUUGUUAAAAUAUUUUAAUUGGGACUAUAGGAAUGUAAAAAAAUAGACAAAUCUGUUGAAUGAAACAUUUACUUGUAUUUUACAUUCUAUUUAGUUAUUUACUUUUUUUAUUGUAAGAAUAAUGAUGAUGAGACUGAUCAGUUUCACCUGUCCUUGUGCUUGUCUCCUCCCCCCUCCAGGUGUCGCCCAUCUUCCCUAUUAUCACCUGUGUUCUCUGUCUUGUUUGUUGCCAGUUUGUCUUGUUUGUUCAAGCUUACCAACGGUUUUCCUGUCAACGCCUACUGUUUCCAAGCCUUGCUUUGCUAGUCCCUCCUGGUUUUGACCGAUGCCUGACCCUGCCUCCACCUUUGCUCCACCUCUGGAUUACUGAACCCUGCCUGACCCUGAGUCUGCCUGCCGUCCUGUACCGUUGCCUAACCCUUGAUUUUUGACCCCUUCCUGCCUUGACCUGUCUUUGCCUGCCCCUGUUUGCUACAAUAAACAGGGUUACUUGAUUCUUGAAAAGGCUAUACUGUCAGAUCCAAAUACUGUUUACAUAAAGCAACAUUACCAAAGAUGUCAACAUUGCAGACCUCCAGGACGUCUUCAGUUGAUCCAGAAAUGGAACCACUAUAUGGUUAAAUCAUGACUGGACCAAAGACUUGGGCAGCUACUGUAGCCUACGUAUACUGUAUGGAAGUGCUAUAUGGUCAAACAGUAAUACUGUGUGCUGAACCUAUGCAUUGGAAUAUCUACCUUGUUUAAUAAGAACAAUUAAACAAAUUCCAUGUUAUGAUUAUAGUGUUCAAUGUUAACACUGAUUUAGACAGCUUUGUGACUGCUUGAUUUGUUAUUAAUUUUUUGAAUACAAAUAGAUCUACUGGGCUCCUGAGUGGUGCAGAGGUCUAAGGCACUGCAUCUCAGUGCUAGAGGAGUCACUACAGACCCUGGAUUCGAAUCCAGGCUGUUUCACAACUGGCUGUGAUUGGGAGUCCGCACAAUUGGCCCAGCAUCAUCCGGGUAUGGCCGGUGUAGGCCGUCAUUGUAAAUAAGAAUUUGUCCUUAACUGACUUGCCUAGUUAAAUAAAUAAAAAAUACUUU